UAAUACGGAGGAUGCAAGUGUUAUCCGGAAUCACUGGGCGUAAAGCGUCUGUAGGUGGUUUAAAAAGUCUAUGGUUAAAAGUUGAAGCUUAACUUCAAAGAUGCCGUGGAAACUUUUAGACUAGAGUAUGGUAGGGGUAGAGGGAAUUUCCAGUGAAGCGGUGAAAUGCGUAGAUAUUGGAAAGAACACCAAUGGCGAAGGCACUCUACUGGGCCACUACUGACACUGAGAGACGAAAGCUAGGGGAGCAAAUGGGAUUAGAUACCCCAGUAGUCCUAGCCGUAAACUAUGGAUACUAAAUGUUGCGUGUAUUGACCCACGCAGUGUUGUAGCUAACGCGUUAAGUAUCCCGCCUGGGAAGUAUGCUCGCAAGAGUG
rnacentral:rRNA from 1 species